rnacentral:rRNA from 1 species
AUUGAACGCUGGCGGCAUGCCUUACACAUGCAAGUCGAACGGCAGCACGGGAGCAAUCCUGGUGGCGAGUGGCGAACGGGUGAGUAAUGUAUCGGAACGUGCCCAGUCGUGGGGGAUAACGUAGCGAAAGCUACGCUAAUACCGCAUACGAUCUAUGGAUGAAAGCGGGGGAUCGCAAGACCUCGCGCGAUUGGAGCGGCCGAUAUCAGAUUAGGUAGUUGGUGGGGUAAAGGCCCACCAAGCCUGCGAUCUGUAGCUGGUCUGAGAGGACGACCAGCCACACUGGAACUGAGACACGGUCCAGACUCCUACGGGAGGCAGCAGUGGGGAAUUUUGGACAAUGGGCGCAAGCCUGAUCCAGCAAUGCCGCGUGCAGGAUGAAGGCCUUCGGGUUGUAAACUGCUUUUGUACGGAACGAAACGGCUUUUUCUAAUACAGAGAGCUAAUGACGGUACCGUAAGAAUAAGCACCGGCUAACUACGUGCCAGCCGCCGCAGUAA